GACGAACGCUGGCGGCGUGCUUAACACAUGCAAGUCGAACGGAAAGGCCCUGCUUUUGUGGGGUGCUCGAGUGGCGAACGGGUGAGUAACACGUGAGUAACCUGCCCUUGACUUUGGGAUAACUUCAGGAAACUGGGGCUAAUACCGGAUAGGAGCUCCUGCUGCAUGGUGGGGGUUGGAAAGUUUCGGCGGGUGGGGAUGGACUCGCGGCUUAUCAGCUUGCUGGUGGGGUAGUGGCUUACCAAGGCUUUGACGGGUAGCCGGCCUGAGAGGGUGACCGGCCACCUUGGGCCUGCGGUACGGCCCAGACUCCUACGGGAGGCAGCAGUGGGGAAUAUUGCACAAUGGGCGGAAGCCUGAUGCAGCAACGCCGCGUGCGGGAUGACGGCCUUCGGGUUGUAAACCGCUUUCGCCUGUGACGAAGCGUGAGUGACGGUAAUGGGUAAAGAAGCACCGGCUAACUACGUG
rnacentral:rRNA from 1 species